ACCUGGGUGGCUCAGUGGUUGAGCAUCUGCCUUUGGCUCAGGUCAUGAUCCCAGGGUCCUGGGAUUGAGUCCCACCUCAGGUU
rnacentral:tRNA from 1 species